rnacentral:rRNA from 1 species
UACGUAGGUAGCAAGCGUUGUCCGGAAUUAUUGGGCGUAAAGCGCGCGCAGGCGGCUUCUUAAGUCUGAUGUGAAAUCUCGGGGCUCAACCCCGAGCGGCCAUUGGAAACUGGGAGCUUGAGUACAGAAGAGGAGAGUGGAAUUCCACGUGUAGCGGUGAAAUGCGUAGAUAUGUGGAGGAACACCAGUGGCGAAGGCGACUCUCUGGUCUGUAACUGACGCUGAGGCGCGAAAGCGUGGGGAGCAAACAGG